AGCUUUUUAGUUUAUGAAGAAAAUGGGUGCUUGUGGUGCGCUUGAAUUUAGGAGCUU
rnacentral:tRNA from 1 species